GCCGGUGUAGCUCAGUGGCAGAGCAGCUGUUUCGUAAACAGCAGGUCGUCGGUUCGAACCCGACCACCGGCUCCA
rnacentral:tRNA from 1 species